rnacentral:rRNA from 1 species
GCGCAGCAGGCGAGAAAACUUUACAAUGUGCGAAAGCACGAUAAGGGAACUCUGAGUGCCUCCUAAGGAGGCUGUUCUGAUGUCUAAAAAGCAACAGAAGUAAGGGCUGGGUAAGACCGGUGCCAGCCGCCGCGGUAACACCGGCGAGCCCAAGUGGGUAGCCACGUUUAUUGGGUCUAAAGCGUUCGUAGCCGGCCGAGGUAAGUUCCUUGGUAAAUUUAGCCGCUUAACGGUUAAGCUUUCAGGGAAUACUGCUUGGCUUGGGACUGGGGAGAGGUCAGAGGUACUCCGGGGGUAGGGGUGAAAUCUAUUAAUCCCUGGGGGACCACCGGUAGCGAAGGCGUCUGACCAGACCAGGUCCGACGGUGAGGGGACGAAGGCUGGGGGGCGCGGAACCGGAUUAGAUACCCGGGGUAGU